rnacentral:sRNA from 1 species
UAUUUUUCUAGGUCCUAGGCCUACUUACAAGCCUCCAGUCUCAAAUUAUCCAGGAUAUCCUAAACCUGAGGAAGGAAUACUUGACAGUCUGGAUGAUUGGGUCAUUGCUCUGAUUGUUAUUGCCAUAGUUGUUGGAGUUGCAGUAAUUUGUGUUGUCCUGUACGGAUAUCUUCAAAGGAGGAAGAAGAAAGGGUAAAUUAAAGCAUGUUUCUUCUAACUUCUUGGUCCUUCUUAUACUUAACAUGCUUUUGUGCAGCUUCAGUUUGUAAUCUGUAUUGCAUGCUAUCUUUUUUUUAAAAAAAAAUGCCUGCAUUAGUUUGUCCUACCAAUUGCAUUUCUUUGCUAAAAAUAUUUUCAGCUACUUCUAACAUCACUGCAACAUAAAAACAUCUGUGCAGAGUUCCUACAGCUAUUAUGACUUUAAGAAAAAUUUCUCUUGGAUUUGAGGUUUAAGUUAUUUAGCAAAUCAUGGACCACUCACUAUGAGGCCUUCUCUACCCUAUUCCCUAUUUCCAAAAUUGCACUAAUGGCCAAAAUUAAAUUUAAAGUAUUUCACUGUGGAGACUUU